GGGCCUGUAGCUCAGACGGAUAGAGCAACGGUUUCCUAAACCGUGGGUCGGGAGUUCGAAUCUCCCCAGGCCUACCA
rnacentral:tRNA from 1 species